GACGGGGGGUCCUAGCGUUGCUCGGAAUCAUUGGGCGUAAAGCGGACGUAGGCGGCUAUGUAAGUCAGGAGUGAAAGCCCUGGGCUCAACCCAGGAAGUGCUUUUGAUACUGCAUAGCUUGAGUGUGGGAGAGGGUCGUAGAAUUCCAGGUGUAGUGGUGAAAUACGUAGAUAUCUGGAGGAACACCGGUGGCGAAGGCGGCGGCCAGGCCCAACACUGACGCUGAGGUCCGAAAGCGUGGGGAUCAAACAGG
rnacentral:rRNA from 1 species